AGUGAACGCUGGCGGUAGGCCUAACACAUGCAAGUCGAACGGCAGCACAGUAAGAGCUUGCUCUUACGGGUGGCGAGUGGCGGACGGGUGAGGAAUACAUCGGAAUCUACUUUUUCGUGGGGGAUAACGUAGGGAAACUUACGCUAAUACCGCGUACGACCUACGGGUGAAAGCAGGGGAUCUUCGGACCUUGCGCGAUUGAAUGAGCCGAUGUCGGAUUAGCUAGUUGGCGGGGUAAAGGCCCACCAAGGCGACGAUCCGUAGCUGGUCUGAGAGGAUGAUCAGCCACACUGGAACUGAGACACGGUCCAGACUCCUACGGGAGGCAGCAGUGGGGAAUAUUGGACAAUGGGCGCAAGCCUGAUCCAGCCAUACCGCGUGGGUGAAGAAGGCCUUCGGGUUGUAAAGCCCUUUUGUUGGGAAAGAGAAGCAGCAGGUUAAUACCCCGCUGUUCUGACGGUACCCAAAGAAUAAGCACCGGCUAACUUCGUG
rnacentral:rRNA from 1 species